rnacentral:rRNA from 1 species
GAUCCUGACUCAGGACGAACGCUGGCGGCGCGCCUAACACAUGCAAGUCGAACGGAGAGUGUGAGACGGAAGCCUUCGGGCGGAAGACUUACAUUCUUAGUGGCGGACGGGUGAGUAACACGUGAGCAACCUGCCGUUCAAGAGUGGGAUAGCACCUGGAAACGGGUGGUAAUACCGCAUAAGACCACAGCAUCGCAUGGUGCAGAGGUCAAAGGAGCAAUCCCGCUUGAAGGAUGGG